AUUCUACUCCCUCCGUUGCACAAUACAUACCUUCUAUUUGUCGAAAUAUAUAUGUAUCUAGACAUGUUUUAGUAUAUAGGUACAUCCAAUUUUGGACAAAUGGAAGUCAAGUAUUUUGGAACGGAGGGAGUACACA
rfam:Triticum aestivum genome assembly, contig: Triticum_aestivum_CS42_TGACv1_scaffold_486901_6AS